GAUGAACGCUGGCGGCGUGCCUAAUACAUGCAAGUCGAGCGAACGGACGAGAAGCUUGCUUCUCUGAUGUUAGCGGCGGACGGGUGAGUAACACGUGGAUAACCUACCUAUAAGACUGGGAUAACUUCGGGAAACCGGAGCUAAUACCGGAUAAUAUUUUGAACCGCAUGGUUCAAAAGUGAAAGACGGUCUUGCUGUCACUUAUAGAUGGAUCCGCGCUGCAUUAGCUAGUUGGUAAGGUAACGGCUUACCAAGGCAACGAUGCAUAGCCGACCUGAGAGGGUGAUCGGCCACACUGGAACUGAGACACGGUCCAGACGCCUACGGGAGGCAGGAGUGGGGAAUCGUCGGCAAUGGGCGAAAGCCUGACGGAGCAACGCAGCGUGGGUGAGGGAGGUCUGCGGAUCGUAAAACUCUGUUAUUAGGGAGGAACAGAUGUGUAAGUAGCUGUGCACAUCUUGACGGUACCGGAUCAGAAAGCCCCGGCUAACUACGUG
rnacentral:rRNA from 1 species